CUCUGAGGCCAGACAGACAGGCAGGUGUGAAGAGGAUGCUGCUUGUGUGUGCUGUUUUUCUUCUUCAUGUAGUGCAUCCCUACAGAGAACCUGACCUGCCAAUCCUGCCAAAUAACAAAUAACCUUUCUAAGUAAUAGCAGGCCUACAGCCCUUGCACUAUUGGCUCUAAACACUACUUCUGUUACUGAUGAAUGGACUGCGCCACUUGCUGAGGAUAGCUCAUGGUCACAUUGUUGGGCAGCAAAACUGCACACAGCUAGUCUCCACUGAUGGCGGCAGUGGCUCCUCACCUUCCUUGAGAAGAAAGAGACUCAUGACAGCACCGAAGACCACACUCCCUAUCAAUGACUCACAGCGAGACUGCUCCCAGACGGCAAAUUGCCACGACACGUCACCUCUGCUCGCCGUGCCCCAAGCCUGACUAUGAUGCCCCUGCUUCUUACACCCUCGCCUCCACUGAACUAAAUAAAAGAGCACCUUUUCCCCACUAGUCAUGC